rnacentral:lncRNA from 1 species
AUGGUGCAUUGUGAGACUCACCUCAAACAUGAAGGGUGUAAAAUGUAAUUGACCUAAUACUUAUUUUCAUUUACUUCGUCAACACAUUUUAAUUAUCGUGAGUUUCAAUUUAAGUCCAAUUUUAAAUACUAAACGAAACCUGAAAGAGUUUAUAAUAACACCAACAAAAAUGAGAAAAAUGUUGUAAACAUUCCUAGAAUAAGUAUGAUUGUGUAAAUCCUAGAUUAGAUUUGAUUCUAGUUAUCCUUUCCUAUUACAACUUGUAUUACUUGGAGGAGAAGGAAUAUCUUCUCUCCCUUUACUACUAUAAAUAAAGGCACAAUGUAGGAGGGAUAACAACACACACAUUCCCCUACAAUUCUACAAACACAUAUCACUCUCCUCUCUCUCUCUGCCGCCGGCCCUAGUCUCUCUGUCAGAUAAAUAUAGACCACAACACGUUAUCAGCACACUCCUACCGCUGCACUUAGGAAUCUGACGUUGGAGAUUUUUUCUGCAUCAAACCAGUUCAUCCAUAUCAUCACGCAAUCAGGUUCUUUUCCAAACAACGGCUUUUAACUCGAUAUUUUGCAAGCCCUGAUAGCAUGAACAUUCACCAUGAUGCAUGACCCAACUUUACGUUUUACGUAUUUUAGAUUCUACAUAAAUUGUGUAUGCUUCAUAACCAAAAUUGCUACAAUUAUGUGAAUUUGAUAUUUACCAUGAAUUGAAUCUUACAUAUGUACAUGCAUUGAAACUAUUAUUUGCAUAUGCAUCAACGUAAAUAUGUGAUUCAUUAAAAUUAUACAUGCAUAUAAUAUAAUUGAAUUGAAAAAAUUUGGAAUUGGGGAAUUAGGGUUCUGUACGAACCCGUGCACUUGCACCAUGCAAGCCGCAAGCCACCAGGC